rnacentral:rRNA from 1 species
UACGUAGGGUGCAAGCGUUUGUCCGGAAUUAUUGGGCGUAAAGAGCUCGUAGGCGGUUCGUCACGUCGGCUGUGAAAUCCCGAGGCUCAACCUCGGGUCUGCAGUCGAUACGGGCGGACUGGAGUACUGCAGGGGAGACUGGAAUUCCUGGUGUAGCGGUGAAAUGCGCAGAUAUCAGGGGGGAACACCGGUGGCGAAGGCGGGUCUCUGGGCAGUAACUGACGCUGAGGAGCGAAAGCGUGGGUAGCAAACAGG